rnacentral:rRNA from 1 species
UGAACGCUGGCGGCGUGCUUAACACAUGCAAAUCGAACGAUGAAGCCCAGCUUGCUGGGUGGAUUAGUGGCGAACGGGUGAGUAACACGUGAGUAACCUGCCCUUAACUCUGGGAUAAGCCUGGGAAACUGGGUCUAAUACCGGAUAGGAGCGUCCACCGCAUGGUGGGUGUUGGAAAGAUUUAUCGGUUUUGGAUGGACUCGCGGCCUAUCAGCUUGUUGGUGAGGUAAUGGCUCACCAAGGCGACGACGGGUAGCCGGCCUGAGAGGGUGACCGGCCACACUGGGACUGAGACACGGCCCAGACUCCUACGGGAGGCAGCAGUGGGGAAUAUUGCACAAUGGGCGCAAGCCUGAUGCAGCGACGCCGCGUGAGGGAUGACGGCCUUCGGGUUGUAAACCUCUUUCAGUAGGGAAGAAGCGAAAGUGACGGUACCUGCAGAAGAAGCACCGGCUAACUACGUG